rnacentral:piRNA from 1 species
UGUAAAGUGCAGAACAAAGUGGAGUCU